rnacentral:rRNA from 1 species
CGGUGUGCCUCAUACAUGCAAGUCGAACGAUAAGGUCUCUUCGGAGAUACAUAAGUGGCGGACGGGUGAGUAAUAUGUAGGGAAUCUGCCCCAGAGAGGGGGACAACAGAGGGAAACUUCUGCUAAUACCCCAUACGAGCUUGGUUGAAAUACCAAUCUUGAAAACUCCGGUGCUCUGGGAUGAGCCUGCAUCUGAUUAGCUAGUUGGUGGUGUAAUGGACCACAAAGGCGACGAUCAGUAGCUGGUUUGAGAGGAUGAUCAGCCACAAUGGGACUGAGACACGGCCCAUACUCCUACGGGAGGCAGCAGUAGGGAAUUUGCGCAAUGGGGGAAACCCUGAACCGCAGCAACACCGCGUGAAUGUUAAGCCCUUCGGGGUAUAAAGUUCUGUCAAUGGGGAAGAAUUAAUGACUGUACCCAUAAAGGAAGCACCGGCUAACUCCGUGCCAGCAGCAGC